rnacentral:rRNA from 1 species
CCUACGGGAGGCAGCAGUGAGGAAUAUUGGUCAAUGGGCGCAAGCCUGAACCAGCCAAGUCGCGUGAGGGAUGACGGUCCUAUGGAUUGUAAACCUCUUUUGUCGGGGAGCAAGGCCCGCCACGUGUGGCGGGAAGGAGAGUACCCGAAGAAAAAGCAUCGGCUAACUCCGUGCCAGCAGCCGCGGUAAUACGGAGGAUGUGAGCGUUAUCCGGAUUUAUUGGGUUUAAAGGGUGCGUAGGCGGAAGGUUAAGUCAGCGGUCAAAUGUCGGUGCUCAACACCGGCCUGCCGUUGAAACUGGUCGUCUUGAGUGAGCGAGAAGUAUGCGGAAUGCGUGGUGUAGCGGUGAAAUGCAUAGAUAUCACGCAGAACUCCGAUUGCGAAGGCAGCAUACCGGCGCUCAACUGACGCUGAGGCACGAAAGCGUGGGGAUCGAACAGGAUUAGAUACCCUUGUAGUC